rnacentral:rRNA from 1 species
UUUUAUCAGAGAGUUUGAUCCUGGCUCAGGAUGAACGCUGGCGGCGUGCUUAACACAUGCAAGUCGAACGGGAAUUACUUUAUUGAAACUUCGGUCGAUUUAAUUUAAUUCUAGUGGCGGACGGGUGAGUAACGCGUGGGUAACCUGCCUUGUACAGGGGGAUAACAGUCAGAAAUGACUGCUAAUACCGCAUAAGCGCACAGGACCGCAUGGUCCG